rnacentral:lncRNA from 1 species
UGCUGGGGCUUGAACCCCUGACCCAAGUGUGCCUUUAACCAGCAGGGAAAAGGUGUGAAAGCAUCAACGUUUUGUCAAGCCCCACCAGAGCCUGUGGAACUCAGUACCGUAUUCUCCCCAGACAGAAAAUGCUCACUGGACAGUUACAGAUGUUAUGUUGCAGUGCCUAUGUUCUGAGUUGUGUGCCCUCUGAGUGGCGUGCCGAACUCACACUAAUCUGCCAGGGCAGAGCCAUCCCUUGUUCAGUAUUUCUGUGUGCGUGUCUGCCACCUUCUCGUUAGUAACUUCGCAGUGUCUUGUCCCCAGGGUAAUCCUUCCUAAUGCUGUUAAGUAAGAUGCCUAUGUCCUUCACCGCAUGUGAUUUGCAUAUACAUUUAGCACCUCACAGAAUCCUAAGAAGGGGUUAAACCACUGUUAAGGAAUCGAACUCAGUCUUCUGAACUUCCCUCCGAGGCAAAGCUCCUCUCUGCCAGGCUGGACCCUCUUUCUGGAGGGAUUUCAUUUUGGAAGACAUGGAUCUUGCUGCUAAUGAGAUCAGCAUCUAUGACAAACUUUCAGAGACUGUUGAUUUGGUGAGACAGACAGGCCAUCAGUGUGGAAUGUCCGAGAAGGCGAUUGAAAAGUUUAUCAGACAGCUACUCGAAAAGAAUGAACCUCAAAGGGGACCACCCCAGUACCCUCUCCUUAUAGCCAUGUAUAAGACUUUGACCCCUGGUCAUCAAAUAAUUGUGAACAGAACGAGUCAGAGCCCAUUCCUGCCAACUGCACUGUCUGCGCCCAGAUUCUACCCCUCAAGGAGAUGCAUGAGGUGCAUGACCUGUUUACCAUUGGCAGCGGGGAAGCCAUGUUGCAGCUCAUCCCUCCCUUCCAGUGCCGAAGACACUGUCAGUCUGUGGCCAUGCCGAUAGAGUCUGGGGACAUUGGCUAUGCUGGUGCUGCCCACUGGAAGGUCUACAUCGUAGCCAGAGGGGUCCAGCCUUUGGUCAUCUGUGAUGGAACCACUCUCUCAGAACUAUAGGAAACAACUGCUUGGAGACCUGAGACCUAGGCUGGAAAGAGUGCGGAGCGGGGAAUAAAACACUGAAACACUUCC